AGACAACAUCCCACCCCAACUGGAUGAAUUGCAAAGGUACCAAGAUCUCAUUUAGAAAUCCUCACUAUUUUCAUGUGAUUUGAGAAAGGAUUGUAUUUAAAUGGCGUUUUGGCAUUUGGAGGGAAACAGACACGCCCUGUCGGGUGAAAUCUCAGGGAUGAUCAGUGAACAAAAACACUGUCACCAAGUUUUUGUUUUUUAAGUCCUGUGAAAUCCAAAGGACAAAGUGUGUCUAUUUAUUCUCAAGGAUUCCAAGCCUCACUAAAGGAUGAACUGGAAGGCCACAGCUUCCAAACCCUCUGAGGAGGUGUGGUUGGCAUUGUGGAGAUGGCCAGUAUUUCUGGUUCUCUCCUCCUGCAGGGACAUGAAAAGAUCGCACUUCUCCAUCCCCCUGAAGUAUGAAUUUAAAUCGACUGACAAGAGAAGGAAAGAUCAGCAGCAACUCCUCUGGCACAGUCAGUCAGAGCAUCUCCAUGUAGUCAAACGCAGGACAGCAGCACAUGAAAGCCACAUGAGCUUAUGCUUGCAAGUUAUCUUCAACAGCACAAGGCCUUAAGAAAGAUAUGCCUGUAUGGGAAAUCACCUGACUGUGCCAUUAAUUGAAACAACCCAUUUCAUUUCAAAGUGUCAGUGAGCAUUGUAUGGGCAAAGCAUUGCAGGGUGAAGUGACAAGAAUGUGGAUUAUUUCCCAGAUUUUUUCUAGGAGCAAAUAGCAAUCACUGGCUAUGGGAUGGAUUAUUUGCAGAUGCACAUGGCUUCUUCUGCCCCAAGAAGAAGGACAACACCCCCGCCCACCUCCCCACCCUUGUUUUUCCUCAGCUUCCACCCCACCCCCAAUGCCACAUCCUUGCAAAGACAUCUGCUUUUCUGGAUUCCCGGAGAGUCCACCUCAUGCAAACUUCCCAGCAUCUUUAGCCAUGCCCUGGAUUCUACAUCUGAUUCACUUUUCCUGUUCCAG
rnacentral:lncRNA from 1 species